ACAGGUUAUUUAGUUCACAAUUUGCCAUCAACUGUUUUAGAUCGUUAUACCAAGUGUUUUUAUGUGUUUUGGAAAAAACGGAGUCCCAUACAAACAUUUGGUGUGGCAAUUUAUUGGAAUUCAUACUCAUGAUUCGAUGCCAAAGUCUAAUGAUAUUACACCGCCUACGAAUAUAGGGAGGUGUCCAACCCAUGUCACCACAAAUUGCUGGAAUUCGGUGCACUUUUUCCGACACCAAGAAAAGUUCUAAUAGCCCUGUUCUGAAGGGUCUCUAGUUUAUCAUAUAUCUUGUAGCCCCACACUCCCGAUGAAUAGUCCAUGACUGGGUUUACCAUACUACUGAAAAGCUUAGUAAACGUUUCAUAAUCUAGUCCAUCAAUCUGGUAAUAUUUUGAUGUUAGGGCGCCAAGAGCUCUGCUACUUGCAGUAACCAAUUCGUUGGCACUGUCCGCAUAGUCUAUCGUUUCUGAUAUCGUAAAUUCUAAGUACCUGUAUCUCGAUGUGUAGUCAACAGUUGUAUUGCCAAGGACAAACUUGUAAUUUGACCGUUCAGUUGAAGGCUUUCGAGCGUGCAGUAUUUUCGU
rnacentral:lncRNA from 1 species